GAGGGUGUAGCUCAAGUGGUAGAGCGCAUGCUUAACAUGCAUGAGGUCCUGGGUUCAAUCCCCAGUGCCUUCU
rnacentral:tRNA from 1 species